UACGUAGGGUGCGAGCGUUGUCCGGAAUUAUUGGGCGUAAAGAGCUCGUAGGCGGUCUGUCGCGUCGAUCGUGAAAACCUGGGGCUUAACUCUGGGCGUGCGGUCGAUACGGGCAUCACUGGAGUUCGGCAGGGGAGACUGGAAUUCCUGGUGUAGCGGUGAAAUGCGCAGAUAUCAGGAGGAACACCGGUGGCGAAGGCGGGUCUCUGGGCCGAUACUGACGCUGAGGAGCGAAAGCAUGGGUAGCGAACAGG
rnacentral:rRNA from 1 species